rnacentral:pre_miRNA from 1 species
UGGGAGGAUCCGUAAAGCUCAGGAGGGAUAGCGCCAUGUCAUAUAUCAAACUCCAGAUUUCACAAAGUUGUAUGAUGAUCAUCAACUGUGGCGCUAUCUAUCCUGAGUUUCAUUGCUUCUUCCU